UAGGGAAUCUUCGGCAAUGGGGGCAACCCUGACCGAGCAACGCCGCGUGAGUGAAGAAGGUUUUCGGAUCGUAAAGCUCUGUUGUAAGAGAAGAACGUGUGUGAGAGUGGAAAGUUCACACAGUGACGGUAACUUACCAGAAAGGGACGGCUAACUACGUGCCAGCAGCCGCGGUAAUACGUAGGUCCCGAGCGUUGUCCGGAUUUAUUGGGCGUAAAGCGAGCGCAGGCGGUUUAAUAAGUCUGAAGUUAAAGGCAGUGGCUUAACCAUUGUUCGCUUUGGAAACUGUUACACUUGAGUGCAGAAGUGGAGAGUGGAAUUCCAUGUGUAGCGGUGAAAUGCGUAGAUAUAUGGAGGAACACCGGUGGCGAAAGCGGCUCUCUGGUCUGUAACUGACGCUGAGGCUCGAAAGCGUGGGGAGCAAACAGG
rnacentral:rRNA from 1 species